CACCAGAUAGGGCGUCUGCUCACCAUCCCAAGACUACCAGCCAGGGCCCCUCUGGUGCUGAUCUGCUGUGGCCAAUGGUGCAGGUUCUGGUGCUCUCUGAAAACUCCUGGGUCUGAAAAGGUUGUUGUUCAGCCCAGGACGGAGCCCUGCGGCACUCCACUUGUCACUUCUUUCCAUGAUGAAGACAACGCAUUGGUGGUGGUUGCCCUUGGAAACCCCUGUCUCUCCGGACACGUCUCGUCUUGCAUUCUGUCACCGCAUUUCCCUGUUGAAGACAAAACAAGAACAUACAGAUAAAAAGAAACACUCCUAAGGACCCUGGGCGUUUUUCUGUCUGGGAAACUUUCUGCUUCUUGAAUGCAACACGCGUUUUACCCACAUCAGGAGAGAAUGCUUCUGGAACAUGGCCAUACAGCCCGGAAAAUGCACAACAACCCAGUGAUUCUGGCCAUGAAAGCCUUUGACAACACAAACAACAACAUGGAUUGCUGCGAGAUUUCCGGGCUAUAUGGCCAUAUUCCAGAAGCAUUUUCUCUUGACAUUUCACCCAAAACUGUGACAAGCACCCUCAGAGAUUGUGGGGUCUGUUGGAAACUAGGCAAGUGGGGUUUAUAUAUCUGUGGAAUGUCCAGGAUGGGAGAAAGAACUCUUGUCUGUUUAAGGCAAGUGUGAAUGUUGCAAUUGGGCACCAUGAUUAGCACUGAAUGGCCUUUCAGCUUCAAAGCCUGGCUGCUUCCUGCCUAGGGGAAUCCUUUGUUGGGGUUGUUAGCUGGCCCUGAUUGCUUCAUGCCUGAAAUUCCCUGUAUUCUGAGUGUUGUUCUUUAUUUCCUGAUUUUAGAGUUUUUUUUAAAAAAUACUGUUAGCCAGAUUUUGUUCAUUUUCAUGGUUUCCUCCUUUCUGUUGAAAUUGUCCACAUGCUUAAAUAAAUUGUCAACAACAACAUGCUGUGUAUACAGUGGACACAUUGAAGGAUUGAAGGGAAGAAAAUGCUUCACCUGCACUCCACAAAAAGGAAAAUCGGCCUGUUUAGCAAGUCUUGCAAACACUGAUUUGUUAUCAGCAGAUGUUAGAUUUUUAUAAAUAUUUCAUAUAUCCAUAUACCUGGGGUGAUGUAAAAAUUUCUCAGGCAAAAAGAGGUUGCAAAUGGGAAAAGUUGAAGAAGGCCUGCUCUAUUUCGCCAUGAACUGUAUCUCAUUCAACCUCUAUAGGUGGAUGCUGGAGAGUGCAUUUGCAAUUUGAACAUGAAAAACUCUGAGUUUGGAUCUAGCCAGGCAAAAUUCUUGAUACAAUUCAGAACUAACAAAAGCAACUUGUGCCAUCCAGACGUGUUGAACUAUUGCUAGUUGGGGAGAACAUGAACAUGAACAUGUGGUUUUUCUAAGAUAUUGCGAUUUGUAUCUGUUUGUGUACCCUUUGAUGAACCUAUACAUAUAUAUUCCUUCC